CUACGUACCUGGCAGGGGAGAUACCGUUAUCACAAAGGUGGUUUUCCCAUUGCACCCCGGGUGUGUUGAUUCCUGCGAUUUUCCCAAAUGUGGGAAACUUGACUGCAUAAUUUGC
rnacentral:snRNA from 10 species